GCGGGUAUAGCUCAAUGGUAGAGCGCCGGCCUUCCAAGCCGACGAUGCGGGUUCGAUCCCCGCUACCCGCU
rnacentral:tRNA from 4 species